ensembl:misc_RNA Metazoa_SRP Metazoan signal recognition particle RNA
GCUGGUGCAUGUCCGUAGUCCCAUCUCCUUGGGAAGCUGAGACAGGAGGAUUGCUUGAGUCCAGGAGUUCUGAGCUGUAGUGCAAAUUGGGUGUCCCUAGUAAGUUCAGCAUCUAUAUGAUGAGCUCCUGGGAGUUGCCUAAGGAGGAGUGAACUGGCCCAGGGCGGAAACGGAGCAGGUCCAAACUCUCGUGCUGAUCAGUAAUGGGACUGCACCUGUGAACAGCCACUGCGCUCCAGCCCAAGCAACAUAGCGAGACU